UAGGGGUGGAAAGGAGGAAUAAGAGGGUGGUGGUGGAGAUUCAAUCCAUUCUCAAGGAGAGGCUUAAGAGAGAGAUAGGGUGAUUGGGACGGAUGAGAAGACUAUCCACGACUCGUGGCAAAUCCAAUCAAAGAGAAGGAAGAAUAGGUAGGGCACCAGCUUAAAGGGAGGAUUCGGGUUCACUUCUCAAUCCUGAAGAAGCAAGUUAUCGAUUCAUCCCCACAUAUUGAGGAAGCAGGUCAUGAGAUCCUCUUUUUGAUACACCUACUGAACCGAAGAAAGCCCGAAAGGCUGUUAUCCAACCACUUUCAUCCGACCACUUCUCUCGGGUGCACCCACUGAUAUGGUUGUCGAGGGAAGCCAGUCAAGUAUUCACGCAUCUGAACAUGGUAGGGCCGGCACAGGCUGGAUCAACAAGGUCGGGUGAGAAAAAAAGGGGAUAAAAGAUCGAUUGAUCCAUCCAUAAGGGGUGGAGAUACCACAGCUUCAAGGGCUGAUGGGAAACGUAGGACGCGGGUAGGACUCAUUCUUUACCCUAGAAAGGAAGUCAGUCAAAUAGGAUGAGGACAACGAGCACUGUGGAAUCUUUUUCAAUUGACGAUGGAUAUCACUUUUGUGGUCCGACUCCUAUAGGUGGAACAGAUCGAUCGGGUGGUGGGAUGGAAUCGUGUCUUGAAUCAAAUGAGUCAAGUGGAGAGGGAGUCACGGGUGGAGAGCGAUCGCAUGGGUGGCAUGGAUAAUACACUCUAUUACAAGGGGGCUAGCUAGUAGGAGAUGGAAUCAGCUCGACCAUUCACGAAUGGUAUAGCCGUCCAAACACUAAUGGAAUUAUGACCAGUCGCAUUCCAUCUCCUUUUCAUCCACUUCCAUCAGCGCCUGCAGCAGCAUUAGAGAUUGGGUCGGUGGGAUG
rnacentral:lncRNA from 1 species